rnacentral:snoRNA from 2 species
GGAUCGAUGAUGACUCCCUCGUUCUGCAUUGCUUGGAAAAGCUGAACAAAAUGAGUGAGAACUCCAUACUGUCGUUCUCAUCGAAACUGAGGUCC